GAUGAACGCUAGCUACAGGCUUAACACAUGCAAGUCGAGGGGAAACGAUGAGAGAGCUUGCUCUCUUAGUCGUCGACCGGCGCACGGGUGAGUAACGCGUAUCCAACCUGCCUCUGACCAAGGGAUAACCCGUCGAAAGUCGGACUAAUACCUUAUGCAGUCGUCGGAAGUCAUCUGAUGACGACGAAAGAUUUCAUCGGUGAGAGAUGGGGAUGCGUCUGAUUAGCUUGUUGGCGGGGUAACGGCCCACCAAGGCGACGAUCAGUAGGGGUUCUGAGAGGAAGGUCCCCCACAUUGGAACUGAGACACGGACCAAACUCCUACGGGAGGCAGCAGUGAGGAAUAGUGGUCAAUGGGCGUAAGCCUGAACCAGCCAAGUAGCGUGCAGGAUGACGGCCCUAUGGGUUGUAAACUGCUUUUAUGCGGGGAUAAAGUGAGGGACGUGUCCUUCAUUGCAGGUACCGAAUGAAUAAGGACCGGCUAAUUCCGUG
rnacentral:rRNA from 1 species